CACUGAAAUGAAUGGAACGUCCGCAAGAUUUAUGUGUCUGCAUGCUUUCUCCCCAGGCCUCGGCAGGCUCAUUUCACACACACCCAGGACACAAGCACCAGGGGCACCAAACAAGUAUGAAAAGACACAGGCUAGAAUCUUGCAACCAUCAGAUGUAGAAAGAUGCUAUUGACACAAAUAUUAGGACCCACGUUCGACUGCAGGAGGUGGACCGUGACGGAGAUAUGCAGUGAGAGCGGCAGGACCCAGAGGAAGGAAGGAGGGAGCUGCUCUUGAAAAGAGACCAAAACCACCGAUGCUCAAGACGAGGUGGUGCCUUUCAUCAGCGUGGAAUCUGAAUAUAGCAGAGCAGUUCUGGAGAGAAUGAAGAGUUCAGUUUGGACGUGUUGAGUUUGAGAUGCAUGUGGACAUCCAGGUGGCGAGCUCUAGUGGC